CUUUCCCUGCUUGCCGUUUAAUACAAGGGAAAGUAGAAGCAACAUAGAGUAAUGAAACGGAGGAAUGUCUGUGACAUGUUUCUAAAAAGGAAAAAUGUGGAGUUUCCAGUCAAACUGAAAGACUUAUUGGUGGAAAGCUGAGAAAAUAAUCACACUACUGUUUCUAAUGUAUUACUUCCACUUAUUCAGUCCUCUGCUGAGGAAUCAUUUUGUUGAAGGUAGGAAGCUAUGGACGAGUUUGUCCCUCAGAUUUGGUCCUCUCCUAUACGUCACACUGGGGUAUGAUGGUAAUACGUCUCGCAGUUGCUCAUCACUGGAUUUCCAGAUCCUUCUGCAAUUUUGACUCCUGAUUUUUAAAAUCCGGAUGUAGUCCAAAGAUAUGUUCAGAUGAUUGGAAUCCCAGCAAACUGAUUAAAUGAAAACAACUAAUGUUAUCCAGGUCGAGAAUGACAAUUUGAACCACCACUGUUAGGUAGAGAACUAAUAAUGGGGAGCAAGGAGGAAGUAACUUUCUAUAAUGGCUGCACUUGCUUUUGUAGUUCUCCAGGAAUAAAGGAGUGAGAACCAAGGUACCAGUCAGUACCGAAGCCGACUUCUAAUACCCAUU